UCGCGAGGCGGAAACGCUUCGAGGAAAGUCCGGGCACCGCAGGGCAGGAUGCCAGCUAACGGCUGGGCGCGUAAGGCGACGGCACGUGCAACAGAAAGCAAACCGCCUGCCUCCUGGGUAGGUAAGGGUGAAACGGUGCGGUAAGAGCGCACCAGUGCCCUCGGUAACGAGGGCAGCUAGGUAAACCCCAUCCGGUGCAAGGUCCGAUAGGGAGAGAGGGCUUGCCCGGCCCGCCAACAUCUCCGGGUUGACUGCUCGAGGCGCGCGGUGACGCGCGCCCCAGAUAGAUGAUCGGACCCGCCUUCGGGCGGCGACAGAACCCGGCUUACCGGUCCG
rnacentral:RNase_P_RNA from 1 species